rnacentral:sRNA from 1 species
AGCAGCCGCGGUAAUUCCAGCUCCAAUAGCGUAUAUUAAAGUUGUUGCAGUUAAAAAGCUCGUAGUUGAAUUUCGGGAUCAAUAUAUCGGUCGUGCCUUCGGUACGUACUGGUAUCAUUGGUUUCUCCUUUCUGACGAACCAUGAUGUCAUUAAUUUGGUGUUAUGGGGAGUUAGGACUGUUACUUUGAAAAAAUUAGAGUGUUUAAAGCAGGCUUUAGCUUGAAUACAUUAGCAUGGAAUAAUGAAAUAGGACGUUCGAACCUAUUUUGUUGGUUUCUAGGAUCAACGUAAUGAUUAAUAGGGAUAGUUGGGGGCAUUAGUAUUCAAUUGUCAGAGGUGAAAUUCUUGGAUUUAUUGAAGACUAACUACUGCGAAAGCAUUUGCCAAGGAUGUUUUCAUUAAUCAAGAACGAAAGUUAGGGGAUCGAAGACGAUCAGAUACCGUCGUAGUCUUAACCAUAAACUAUGCCGACUAGGGAUCGGAUGAUGUUAAUUUUUUAAUGACUCAUUCGGCGCCUUA